GAGUGGGUGUUGACCUUCUUUAGAGUAUAUUUGCCCAGCUAAUGGGAGUCCCUUAAUGGUACUCAAAUGGCUUAACGCCAUCAAAAUACAAAAGCUGGAAAUCCAUUUUCACACUUUCAUUCGGAUAAUCCCAGCCACCCGUAUCUCACAAGAGCAUGGCAGGACUUCUUCAAGGCUGGUCCCCUCUUCCCCGUGCCGGAGAUGAUGGAUGGAUCUUCCAAAGACACGAUUUCCGGCUUCCGGCCUGCAUCUGGCCUCAGGAUGAAGCCGCUCUGGGUCUUCCUCACACCAGUAAAUCCCGGAUCAAAUCUGCUCCAGCUGCGUCUGUCCUGCCUGCUCCCGAGGGGCCAGCCGUUGUCAGUUCCCCGACCAGGGAUGGAACCUGUGCCCCCAGCAGAGGAAGCGCGGAGUUCUAAUCACUGGACCACCAGGGAAGUUCCUGCAUCUCCCGUCCCUUGAAAGGACCUGACAGCAGCAGAAGCCGUGUGGGUCGGUUUUUCCCAGCACAUCAUUUCCUGGGCCCCAGGUCAGUCCACGGGCCUUUCCUUGGUGCCACUUGCCCAGCACGCGCCCCGUUUAGGAGCCCAGCAUGGCCACGUCUCUCUCCAUCUGCAAUAACAUCAAGGAGCAACGCCUUUUCCCUCAUUCCACCCGCAUCCCUGCCGGCACCUGGGUCCUCCCAGGACACAAGUGCUUGGCUCACAGGAUGUGUCGCUAUUCUCUUUGCUUCAGCUGCCUUGGGGACAGAGUAGCUUGCAUUUGGGAAUGAUUUAGAGUUUUUGCAUAUAUUACUUCAUUCGAGUCUCACAAAUUCUGGGAAUUAACAGAAGCAUUUUCUAGACGUGGAAACUGAGCCUCAGAUUCAGCAGUACAUUCGUAACCAGUGACACUGGGUUUGAAUCUAAGGAUUUCAGGUUCUUGCCCUGAGUUCCUUUCUAACCGUGUAUUUUUGCAGCAUGAGUCUUGUGCUUUUGUAGUUCAGUCGCCCAGAUGCUCCAGAGCCCUCCGUGGUGCUCGGCCGGCCUGCUCAGAGCUGCGUGUGUUGAUACAGGCAUAGCCAGGGUGACUCCCGCCACAAGCCUGGCCAGUCCCCGACUCUCUGCUCUGUCCCUGGCAGCAGGUGGCAGUUUCCACUCGGCCUCCGCACCGUCCUGUGUGCCCCGGGGCAGGACGGCAGCUGGGAGGAGGGAUCCCGGGCCAGGCCAGUGCAGGCCCUGCAUGUCCCCCAGGGUGACAGCCGUGCUCCUUAGCCAGGAGGCCAAGCCCCUCACCUGCCGGUCCGGCCUCCUUCUUCCACCUCCCUACCGGCCGUCCCCCGUCCCCACAGCCCUGCUCCCAACACGACCCUCAGCACCUGCCCAGCCCCUUUGCCUCUCUCCCUCCGUCCUCGCUCGCCGACAAGGGCCCGUGUCCGUUGCUCCGGUGGGGAGUGAGGAGAAAGGAUCUGCAAGGAAACUUGGCACCUGUGAGAGAAAGGGCAACGUCACCGGACCCUGGCUGCACGAUUGCUGCGGGGCCGCGGAAACACCACCUCUGCGUCCUCACGCGGCCCCCACGGCGCCUCUUCUGCCGUGUCAGCCUGGCUCCCCUUGGUUUGCUAACGUUGACUCCCCGACAGUAACGCAGCAAGGCAGCUCCGAGUGGAGCAAGGCCACCCGCCCCAAGCAGGCGGCUCGGGGGAAGGGGAGUUCCUCCGGCAGCCAUGGGCGCUCGGGAAGCAGACACGUGCUUGCGUAGAGAGGGCAAGCGUGACGCUCGAGUUAGCCACAUGGACCUGGGCUGGAACCCUGGCCGCCCCGGACGACAUCGCGUGACCUGGUGACUCCCCCGGUGACCGGGAGCUGGGGGCUGACGGAGCGAAGGCCGCAAGGCGCCGGCUGGUCUGCACCUUCGGUGGUGCCUGACCUCGUUAGGUUAUUAUUACUGCCCGGUGGUGGGGAGGGCCUGGAGGGGGAGGGGUACGGGUGUGUACCAGGGGGGACAGGAUCUGACAUGAUGAAUCCCCGAACAAGCACUGUUCUCGUUCAGUCCUCCCAACCAACUUGGGCUCGUCCCCAGGUCAAGCCUUGGGGAGCAAAGCCUCCGAGGCCACCCCGCCAGGGGACAGACCGCUGCCCUCGGCUGUCCUCCCAUCUGCUUCCCCGAGAUCCCAAAGCCCCGGGUUCCCCCACCGUUGCUCAUUUUCCACUUAGCUAUGCUCUGUCCUCUGCAUCCACAGACUGAGUUAUUUCUGCUCAAAACCACCAUUUGCUCUGCAAGAUUAAUUCCGAGUCCUUAGUCUGGCCCGGGAGAGGGACCCCCAGCCCCACCCAGCGCCUGGCCUCCCCACCGCCCCGGUUCUGUGGCCACACCUGGAGCUGCUGGGCCUGAGGGACCCUCCUUCUCCCCCUGUAACGCCGGGUUAAGGGUCAGCUCCAUGGGGAAGCUCCGCCCCCCUCCCCACGCAGAGGCUGGUGCUUCUCUGCGGUCACUCACCCCACCCAUGGGGUAGCUGGUGGCUGUGCACGGUACCCCAUAAGCUAAUCAAGAAAAUCAGCACUAAUUGUCCUCCUUUGCACAAUGGGGCUAAAAGGAGUAUUUGUUUUUUAACAUCUUUAUUGGAGUAUAAUUGCUUUACAAUGGUGUGUUAGUUGCUGCUGUGUAACAAAGUGAAUCAGCUCUAUGUCUACAUAUAUCCCCAUAUCCCCUUCCUCUUGUGUCUCCCUCCCACCUUCCCUAUCCCACCCCUCUAGGUGGACACAAAGCACUGAGCUGAUCUCCCUGUGCUGUGCGGCUGCUUCCCACUAGCUAUCGAUUUUACAUUUGGUAGUGUAUAUAUGUCCAUGCCACUCUCUCACUUCGUCCCAGCUCACCCUUCCUCCUCCCCGUGUCCUCAAGCCCAUUCUCUAUGUCUGUGUCUUUAUUCCUGUCCUACCCCUAGGUUCUUCAGAACCUUUUAUUUUUUUUAAUUUUAGAUUCCAUAUAUAUGUGUUAGCAUAUGGUAUUUGUGUUUCUCUUUCUGACUAACUUCACUCUGUAUGACAGACUCUAGGUCCAUCCACCUCACUACAAAUAACUCAGUUUCGUUUCUUUUUAUGGCUGAGUAAUAUUCCAUUCUAUAUAUGUGCUACAUCUUCUAAAAGGAGUAUUUUGUUCAUAAGGUUUUUAUUUUAUAAAAAUUAAAUGAGUUAACACAGGUAAAGUACUUAGAAUAAUGCUUGGUUCACAGUAAGAGCUAAUAAGGUUGGCUCUUACUAAUAUUACACUCUCGAUAGAUGUUAAAAUAAUACACGAGAAUGGAAUGAGAAGAAGUCCGAUUUAACCUUUGCCUGUCAUAGACUUUUGGUUUCCUUUCUUUCAUAUCUAUUAAAAAACCUCAAAAAAAAAAAAACCACCUCCAGCCCAAUGUGACUUUCAAAGUUUAUUAAAUGUGAAGAAUGAGUUAGUUUAAAUGUCACAGAAAAAAUUAGUGUGCUCAGUCCCCACCAUAUUACUUCUUGGAAGACAUCCAGCGUUCAAACCAUACACCACCACUGCCUUUAGUUUGUCUUUAAAUAAAAAUCUUCAUUUCUCGACUGACAGUAAAGAACUUGGCAUUGGAAAAAUUAGCAAGUUUGAUGCUGGUGCAGAGUCAGAGAAAGCUGUCCCUUGAGUGUAUUUGGGGCUUGUUUUAGCCAAAUUAGCUUUAGUUUUUGGUGAGAUCGGAUUUUCAGCUGUUUUUCAGUAAUGCAGAGACACACAGCACUACAACGUUUAUUUCAUAUAAAAUAAACCCGGGGUUUCAGUGCUCCUAAGGGCUCUCGUCAUAGACCGAGGAAAAGUAGAGACCAGAAAGACAUUAAUAUUAUUAGUUCUGAUCGUGGGCCAAGCACAGAGCUCUGGGUUUCAAUGAUCUCAUCCAGGAUGUGGGAUAAGUAGGAACGGAACUGUUGAGUAUUUGGGAUGAAAUGUAAGCAUUUGGGGAAUCUAUAUGCAGCAGAUGUGGCCCUCUCCUCUCACCGUGUGUCUGUGCGUCCAUCCAUGCCGGGCGCCAUUGGGCGUCUACGUGGUGAUACAGCCCAGCGCUCCAGGGAGAGUGAGAUGGCAAAUUAGCCUCCGUGCUCGUAGCACAGAGCAGUGCUAAGACGAUAUAUAUAUAAACAGUAUAAAUGCCAACAUACGACAAAUAAACGAAGACAUUUCAUAGUCCCAGAGUUUGGUUAUAAUUACAGUCUUAAAAUCUAGGGCUAAAUUCUGAAAUGUGUGUGGUAGUACAGGCUGCGUGGAUAUUCAUGUCUGCUAAAUAGUCAUUUGCUGCUGGAACUAGAGAGUUCUGUUUUAUGAUCGCAGGCAUGUUGAAUGUUUAUUACACUAGUGGCUAAAAAGAAUUUCUUUCUUCGUAUUUUAGUUUUUGCUCUUCAAGUUUAAUAGGGAAAAAAAUAAAAUGAAGAUGAUAAAUAACACACAAAAGAAGGAGCAAGAGUGCAAAUUAGUUCCUUCUAAUUGCUAAGAGUAGCAGACAUAUUUCUUAAAAAUGCGUUUGGGAAACUGUGUA